UACCAGCACCCCGAGUGGUCGGGACGAUUAUUGGGCCUAAAGCAUCCGUAGCCGGUCAUGCAAGUCCUCCGUUAAAUCCAGCCGCUCAACGGUUGGGCUGCGGAGGAUACUACGUGACUAGGAGGCGGGAGAGGCAAGCGGUACUCAGUGGGUAGGGGUAAAAUCCUUUGAUCCAUUGAAGACCACCAGUGGCGAAGGCGGCUUGCCAGAACGCGCUCGACGGUGAGGGAUGAAAGCUGGGGGAGCAAACCGG
rnacentral:rRNA from 1 species